rnacentral:rRNA from 1 species
CCUACGGGUGGCAGCAGUGAGGAAUAUUGGUCAAUGGACGAGAGUCUGAACCAGCCAAGUAGCGUGAAGGAUGACUGCCCUAUGGGUUGUAAACUUCUUUUAUAUGGGAAUAAAAUGUUCCACGUGUGGGAUUUUGUAUGUACCAUAUGAAUAAGGAUCGGCUAACUCCGUGCCAGCAGCCGCGGUAAUACGGAGGAUCCGAGCGUUAUCCGGAUUUAUUGGGUUUAAAGGGAGCGUAGGUGGAUUGUUAAGUCAGUUGUGAAAGUUUGCGGCUCAACCGCAAAAUUGCAGUUGAAACUGGCAGUCUUGAGUACAGUAGAGGUGGGCGGAAUUCGUGGUGUAGCGGUGAAAUGCUUAGAUAUCACGAAGAACUCCGAUUGCGAAGGCAGUUCACUGGACUGCAACUGACACUGAGGCUCGAAAGUGUGGGUAUCAAACAGGAUUAGAUACCCUUGUAGUC